GCUCAUCUCACAAGUUCUUUGUGAAGUAGGGUCCCAGGUUGAAGAAUAUGCUAUGGAGGAUUUCUUGCUUAUGUAUCAGGUAUUAUAUAAGCCUCCCAGAGUGAGAGGUGAGACCUUAUUCAUCUGCUUUAAUAGUGCUUAAAGCAUCAGUCACAGGGCUUUAGUCAGGUCUACUACUUGGUUAAGCAUGUGGUCUUCUAGGUUAAGUCUGUGGACUUCUUCCCCCAGACCCACCUGUUUCUCCAGAAGGCAGACUGGUGAAUAAAUGGAAAUAUGGCUUCCUCCCACCCAGAGAACACUGUGUGCAAGACACCAUCCUGGAGGAAGAGAAUAGCCCCACCAGACAAACCUCCUGGAGCCUUGGCCAUAGAAUUCCCAGCCUCCAUAACUUUUAGGAAAAUUCUGUUGACCUAUAAUGAAGUUUACAGAUUUUUCCUCAUAUCUGUCCAGUCUACGGAUUAGAUCUUCAAAGAGAUGAAAUCCCACUAUUUUGCCCAGGCUCAUCUAUAACUUCUGAGCUCAAGACAUCCUCCUGCUUUGACCUUCCAAAGUGCUGGGAUAGGGGUGUGGUGCAAUUCCAUUAGAUGAAAGAGAUCUACACAUUCAGAAGCACAUGAUUCUUCCCCCUUCCAUGAUUCCAGUGGCCAAUAGACAAACUACAAUAAAGCCAUGCCCUGACUGGAUGUGCCUAACAUUUGUCUGGUGCUUAAAGGAGUUGGCUGCAUGCGUGGAAAUGUUGGAAAGUCACCAAAAAUAGUUCUCCAAGUCAGAAGCGGUGCAAAAGCUGCCUCAGCUCUUGGUGGAUUUUCAAUUUCUCCCAGCCAUCUCUGUUUCGCUAAAGGUUUCUGAAGACAGUGGGUAUGUGGCAAACUUCUGCAAUUCUAUAUUAAGAUAAACUGUUAGAUCAAUUAUGUGUGUCAUAUUAUCUUCCUUCUGCAGAGUUUGAGAAUUAUAUUUCUUACCUGUUUGCUUCAGGGACAACUUGUUUGGAAAAAAAAUCACCCAGGGUUAAACAUCAUAUUCUUUAGAACCCAAAAAGCAUUGAUCCAUUUAUAUCCAGCUUCAAAUACCAUGCUAGUAUUCCCAACUUAAGGGCCACCAUAUUGAUGCAUGCUAAUGUGCCAACAGUUUCAUCCACUAUUUUAUUUUAUUUAUUUAUUUAUUUAUUUGAGAUGGAGUUUUGCUCUGGUCACCCAGGCUGGAGUUCAAUGGCAUGAUCUUGGCUCACUGUCACCUCUGCCUGCUGUGUUCAAGUGAUUCUCCAGCCUCAGCCCUCCCGAGUAGCUGGAAUUAUGGGCGCCCACCACCAUGCCUGGCUAAUUUUUGUAUUUUUAGUAGAGACAGGGUUUCGCCAUGUUGGCCAGACUGAUCUCCAACUCCUGACCUCAGAUGAUUCGCUCACCUCGGCCUCCCAAAGUGCUAGAAUUACAGGCAUGAGCCACAGUGCCUGGCCUCACCCACUAAUUUUUAGACACCAUUAGUGUAAGUGUCAUCAAAAUAAAAAAGACAAAUAAUCUAUUAAUAUUAUGUUACUGUAGUUUUGUCCUCACAGACCCUCAGGUAGCUUCUGGGGACCAUCAUGGUCCCACAGACCAUUCUUUGAGAAUUGCUAUCACAGAGAAAAUAAACCUUUGACACAUCAUAACUGCACUCUAAAUAUAGGAUUUGUAUAUGCUGAAGAAUUUCAAUAAAGAUCUGGAACAGCAGC
rnacentral:lncRNA from 1 species